rnacentral:rRNA from 1 species
GUCGAACGGAAAGGCCCUUCGGGGUACUCGAGUGGCGAACGGGUGAGUAACACGUGGGUGAUCUGCCCUGCACUUUGGGAUAAGCCUGGGAAACUGGGUCUAAUACCGAAUAUGACCGCGCACUUCCUGGUGUGUGGUGGAAAGCUUUUGCGGUGUGGGAUGGGCCCGCGGCCUAUCAGCUUGUUGGUGGGGUAAUGGCCUACCAAGGCGACGACGGGUAGCCGGCCUGAGAGGGUGACCGGCCACACUGGGACUGAGAUACGGCCCAGACUCCUACGGGAGGCAGCAGUGGGGAAUAUUGCACAAUGGGCGCAAGCCUGAUGCAGCGACGCCGCGUGAGGGAUGACGGCCUUCGGGUUGUAAACCUCUUUCAAUAGGGACGAAGCGCAAGUGACGGUACCUAUAGAAGAAGGACCGGCCAACUACGUGCCAGCAGCCGCGGUAAUACGUAGGGUCCGAGCGUUGUCCGGAAUUACUGGGCGUAAAGAGCUCGUAGGUGGUUUGUCGCGUUGUUCGUGAAAACUCACAGCUUAACUGUGGGCGUGCGGGCGAUACGGGCAGACUAGAGUACUGCAGGGGAGACUGGAAUUCCUGGUGUAGCGGUGGAAUGCGCAGAUAUCAGGAGGAACACCGGUGGCGAAGGCGGGUCUCUGGGCAGUAACUGACGCUGAGGAGCGAAAGCGUGGGGAGCGAACAGGAUUAGAUACCCUGGUAGUCCACGCCGUAAACGGUGGGUACUAGGUGUGGGUUUCCUUCCUUGGGAUCCGUGCCGUAGCUAACGCAUUAAGUACCCCGCCUGGGGAGUACGGCCGCAAGGCUAAAACUCAAAGAAAUUGACGGGGGCCCGCACAAGCGGCGGAGCAUGUGGAUUAAUUCGAUGCAACGCGAAGAACCUUACCUGGGUUUGACAUGCACAGGACGCCAGUAGAGAUAUUGGUUCCCUUGUGGCCUGUGUGCAGGUGGUGCAUG